AUCAGUUGAAUGAAGACCGUACCGUAAACCGACACAGGUGGGUAGGAUGAGAAUUCUAAGGCGCUUGAGAGAACUCAGGAGAAGGAACUCGGCAAAAUAGCACCGUAACUUCGGGAAAAGGUGUGCCCUUUGUAUGUGUAGCGCCUCGCGCGUGAAGCAGAAUAGGGUUGCAAUGAAAUGGUGGCUGCGACUGUUUAAUAAAAACAUAGCACUCUGCAAACACGAAAGUGGACGUAUAGAGUGUGACGCCUGCCCGGUCCCGGAAGGUUAAAUGAUGGGGUGCAAGCUCUUGAUUGAAGCCCCGGUAAACGGCGGCCGUAACAAUAACGGUCCUAAGGUAGCGAAAUUCCUUGUCGGGUAAGUUCCGACCUGCACGAAUGGCGUAAUGAUGGCCACACUGUCUCCUCCUGGGACUCAGCGAAGUUGAAAUGUUUGUGAAGAUGCAAUCUCCCCGCGGCUAGACGGAAAGACCCCGUGCACCUUUACUGUAGCUUUACAUUGGACUUUGAUAACAUUUGUGUAGGAUAGGUGGGAGGCUUUGAAGUGGGUUCGCCAGAAUUCAUGGAGCCAACGUUGAAAUACCACCCUGAUGUUGUUGAGGUUCUAACCUAGAUCCAUUAUCUGGAUUGGGGACCGUGUAUGGUAGGCAGUUUGGCUGGGGCGGUCUCCUCCCAAAUUGUAACGGAGGAGUACGAAGGUACGCUAGGUACGGUCGGAAAUCGUGCUGAUAGUGCAAUGGCAAAAGCGUGCUUAACUGCGAGACUGACAAGUCGAGCAGAUGCGAAAGCAGGUCAUAGUUAUCCGGUGGUUCUGUAUGGAAGGGCCAUCGCUCAACGGAUAAAAGGUACGCCGGGGAUAACAGGCUGAUUCCUCCCAAGAGUUCAUAUCGACGGGGGAGUUUGGCACCUCGAUGUCGGCUCAUCACAUCCUGGGGCUGUAGCCGGUCCCAAGGGUAUGGCUGUUCGCCAUUUAAAGUGGUACGUGAGCUGGGUUUAAAACGUCGUGAGACAGUUUGGUCCCUAUCUGCCGUGGGCGUUGGAAGUUUGAGUGGACCUGCUCCUAGUACGAGAGGACCGGAGUGGACGCACCUCUGGUGUACCGGUUAUGACGCCAGUCGUAUCGCCGGGUAGCUAUGUGCGGAAGAGAUAACCGCUGAAAGCAUCUAAGCGGGAAACUCUCCUCAAGAUGAGACUUCCCGAGGGUUUAACCCUCCUAAAGGUUCGUCGAAGACUACGACGUUGAUAGGUCGGGUGUGGAAGCAUAGUGAUAUGUUAAGCUAACCGAUACUAAUUG
rnacentral:rRNA from 1 species